rnacentral:rRNA from 1 species
ACAAUGAAGAGUUUGAUCCUGGCUCAGGAUGAACGCUAGCUACAGGCUUAACACAUGCAAGUCGAGGGGCAGCAUGGUCUUAGCUUGCUAAGGCCGAUGGCGACCGGCGCACGGGUGAGUAACACGUAUCCAACCUGCCGUCUACUCUUGGACAGCCUUCUGAAAGGAAGAUUAAUACAAGAUGGCAUCAUGAGUCCGCAUGUUCACAUGAUUAAAGGUAUUCCGGUAGACGAUGGGGAUGCGUUCCAUUAGAUAGUAGGCGGGGUAACGGCCCACCUAGUCUUCGAUGGAUAGGGGUUCUGAGAGGAAGGUCCCCCACAUUGGAACUGAGACACGGUCCAAACUCCUACGGGAGGCAGCAGUGAGGAAUAUUGGUCAAUGGGCGAGAGCCUGAACCAGCCAAGUAGCGUGAAGGAUGACUGCCCUAUGGGUUGUAAACUUCUUUUAUAAAGGAAUAAAGUCGGGUAUGUAUACCCGUUUGCAUGUACUUUAUGAAUAAG